CUCCAUUGUGCAUUUCUCUUUCAAUUUUUUUUGUUUUAUUUUCUACACCAAUGCAGCCCACUGCACCUAUGUACUUCUUCUACCUUCUUUCCAAGGUUUAAUCAUGAAGAUUUAGGUCACUAUUCAGCUAACCAAGCCAUGAAAAAUCUGAAAAAUGCAUUCAAGCACUCCAACAUCUGCGCACACCAAUCACAACACUUCCCUUUAUCCCAAACCAACGCCCUCUUUGCCUCUCACCCUCCAUUGAGUCCUAUAAAUACCCCCUUGACCCCUCACUUCUUCACACAACUCCCCCAAGCAUUCCCUUAGUGUUCUUGAGAGCUACACACUCUUAGUGUAAGAAAAGUGAGAAAUCGAGUGGGUUGGGAGUUUGUUCUUGAAGUGAGUGAGUUCUUGGAGCUUCAAAGCCACGUUUUGGGAUAUCUGAUUGCACUUAUGGAUGCUUGGAGUGGGGUGCAAGGGUUUGACAGGUGCUAGGGGUCUUGAUAUGAGGUAGCACUUCUUCCUAUCUUGAGAUAACGUGUAUAGAGUCUAAUUUGAGAAGGUGGAGCUUUGGUGGCAAAUGGAAGAUAGAAAAAUUCAAAUUUGAUGCUAAGGGUGUCAAUCAGCCGAGAUAGGGUCCUUUGGCUUCCUUUGUUUUUUUUUUCUCCAUUCAUCUCUUGACCAAAGACUUCGUGGGGGCCAAGGGAAUUCUGAUCACUUGGAAUAUUUCAUUCAUUUUGCUUGGGGACAAAGCAAAUGGCCUAAAGAGGUACCACUUGUCUAUUGGAUGGUGUAAGAGGUGUUGAGAUCCGGUUUGAACUCUAGUGAACUGUACUUCAUGUGAUUGUUAAGAAUGUGUUGCCCCUUGUCCUAACUCCAUAGUUCAAGUUUCCAAAUUGUUCAAAUGGCAGGGCUAAGCUUCUUGCACACAAUUUUAUUCAACUAGACAAAAUAUAUGGUGGCAUGUUUUGGAAGCAUCCGGUUUGUAUUGGUUUAGAGUACACGACUUGGACAUGCCUCUUGCAAUAUGAUCUAUACUAAUACUUAGUAGUAUCUUAGUUUAGCUAAUGUUUACUCUAAUAAAAGAGAUCAAGAUUAGAUUUCUAGAAAAUUUCCUUAAAAGGUCUAAUAGCCGAUUAUCAUCAUAAACUAAUUGACUUGAUCCUUGUUUUGGUCUUGGUCACAGAAUUCUGAACUUGUCCUCUGAAUUUUCUGAAAUGAAGAUCUUGGCAGCCAAGUAUUCCUUUAGGCACCACCUUGAAGGGUUGUAUGGUCCAAGGUGUUGAAUUCCUAAGAUUAAGGGUGUGGUGCAAGUUUCUUUUAACUUGGUCUCCAAGUUGGGCAACUUUGGCCUCAAGUUUGGUAUGUCAGGCUAGGCUGGGGUUUGGGUUUUCUUUAUUGGCCCACUUGGGUUGGCUUAGGUUUGGGUCUCAAUUGGCCCUUGGUCCAUUCAGUUUGGGCCUAGCUUGUGGGCUUCUAGUUGGGCCUUGGGCCCAUUUGGAUUUUGGGCCUAAACUUGGGUCUUAACUUUUGAAUUUUACCUUGGCUCAUUCUAAGCUUCGUCCUUAGGAGUUGGAUCAUCUACCUUCUUAUGCUUUAAAUCCAUUUUCCCUCUACGUAGAAUCCACAAGAUGUUAUGGGUUGGUCCUUGAGCCUACAAAGAUAAUAAUUAUUUUAAUAUAGUCCAUUCUCCACUACACUUAUGGUUCUCUUGAUAGGCUUUUGGUGGUGUUACAGGAAUGAGCAGAAAUUAAGUUCCAAAACAUCUUGUGAACGUUAUGAGGGAAUAGUUUUCCUAUUUAUUCGGGUUUCAACAACAGCUAUAGUCAUAUAUAAGUCUGUUGAACCCAUUUUGUUCUUGUGGUGUACCUAUUCAAGUACUUUAGUACUAACGGUUAUUGGGGGCUUGCAAUAAAUCAUGGUGGGAGCCAAGCGAACUGCAUGCAAAUCUGUUCCCCCACCAUAUGUGAUCUACAUAUUUAUCCAGGAACGGCGUGAAGUAGUGAGGCAACGAGAUGAACAAUAGUGAACCGAGGAAGAACAUCGGCAAGCCAUGGCUAGAUUUUCAAGACACCGCAACAAAGUUCUGGACUAUUGCAAUGGAGUCGUGUUCACCCGGCCAGUAAUAUCCCAUGAGGUAAGGCUCGUGGUGUGGGAACAAGAGCUCCAAGGGGAAAGUGAGAUAAGGCCUGUACUGAACAAAAUGAAGGUAAUGACAAUAGAUAUACUCAAGGACAACAAAAAUUGAAGGUAAUGGCAAUUAAUAUAACAAUAUGACUUUAAAGGUAAAAGAAAGAAAGACAUGCUUACCCGAGGUGGUAGCCUCUAGGUCAAUGAAGUAUGGGUGGUGCUAGCAGGCCGACUAGCACUUACGCCUAGCACAACUAUGUAAUUUUUUUUUUUAUCAAUUUUUUGUAAAUAUUUUUUUUAAUAUUCUUAAUCAUUAAAAAAAAUUAAAAAAAUAUACAACUUCACUAAUAAUCACUUCCUUAAUCACUAAAUAAAAAAAUAUAUAUAUAUAUUCUAGUAACUCCGAACAGUAACACUGAGGGGCUAAGUAGCAUUUUCUAUACAUAAUCAUGGAAAAGUUAUCGAGAGCCUGGACUUUUGAGUUUGGACCAGCACUGCUUUAAUAGUUUAAUGGCAAGCUUCCGCUUCUGCACUCCCAAGUCCCAGCUCUAAAAAACACUUGGUACCAACACAUUUCUGAUAAAUAUAAAACAAAUGAAAGAUAAAGAGUCAAUUGCACAACUGUUAUGAUAUUUCUUUCAUUUCUCAUCCCCAGAAAUACAACAGUUUGGUUGGUGCCUUUGAAGGAUAUUGGAAGGAGGCAGAGCCCAAAAUACAAAAAAAUAUUAUAAAAUGAAAAGAAAUCAGAUUGCUCUCAAGAGCCAUAUCAUCUCAUCAUCACAAAGUUAUUCAAACAACAAAGCAGGAAUUUUCAUCUUCUUUAACUUUUUUUUUUUCUUUUAGAGAUUCAACCUCCCAAGCUCUCUUAUACAACUCACUUAGCACUGGCAAGCUGGGUGCGGAGGAGCUUGGCAGCAGCAACCAUGUUUUUGAGGGCUGGCUUAACCUCAGAAUACUUACGAGUCUUGAGUCCACAGUCAGGAUUAACCCACAAGAUGUUUGUCUCGAGCACUGCAAGCAUCUUGUUAAUACGGUCGGCAAUCUCUUCGGUCGAUGGUAUUCUAGGGGAGUGGAUGUCAUAGACACCAGGGCCAAUUCCAGCACCGUACUUGACUCCCUCACGGAA